rnacentral:rRNA from 1 species
AUUGAACGCUGGCGGCAGGCCUAACACAUGCAAGUCGAGCGAGAAGCGGACGGGUGAGUAAUGUAUGGGGAUCUGCCCGAUAGAGGGGGAUAACUACUGGACACGGUAUCUAAUACCGCAUACCAUCGGAUGUGCCCAGAUGGGAUUGGCUAGUAGGGGGGGUAACGGCUCACCUGGACGACGAUUCCUAGCUGGUCUGAGAGGAUGACCAGCCACAUGGGAACGGAGACACGGUCAAGACGCCUACGGGAGGCAGCAGGGGGGAAUAUUGGACAAUGGGCGCAAGCCUGAGGCAGCCAUGCCGCGUGUAUGAAGAAGGCCUUCGGGUUGGAAAGUACUUUCAGCGAGGAGGCGUUACUCGCAGAAGAAGCACCGGCUAACUCCGUGCCAGCAGCCGCGGUAAUAC